CAAAAGGGUGUGGGAACCCUUCUUAGCAAAACUCAAGAUGAUGGCAGAGGACUUCCCCUCCAUCAUAUCAAAAGCUGUGGAGAGUUCCAGCAAGAAACUCCAGGAUGACAUCUCCGUGCUCCAGGAGGAGAAUCGCCUAAUAAGGAUUGAGGCGGAGAAGUUGUCCUGCAACCUUAUGCUGGCGGAGAUCGACCACUCGCGGGUGGAGGAUGCUAUGAGCACCGAGCUGCGGGUGGCGCGCAAGGAAGCCACCGAUCUACGCCAUAGGGU
rnacentral:lncRNA from 1 species